rnacentral:rRNA from 1 species
UACGAGGGGAGCUAGCGUUGUUCGGAAUUACUGGGCGUAAAGGGCGUGUAGGCGGUACCAUAAGUCAGAUGUGAAAGCCCUGGGCUUAACCUAGGAUGUGCAUUUGAUACUGUGGAACUAGAGAUCGGGAGAGGAAAGUGGAAUUACGAGUGUGGAGGUGAAAUUCGUAGAUAUUCGUAAGAACACCAGUGGCGAAGGCGACUUUCUGGCCCGAUACUGACGCUAAGGCGCGAAAGCGUGGGGAGCAAACAGG